UUGCAGAGUGGAUCUCAAGAAAGGGAGAUCUGGGAAUGGUGAUGGGGCCACCACAGGCAGUUGGUGGGCCAGACAGAAGGUCUGGCUAGACUUGCCUGGAGAGGGGGCUAAUUGAAGAAGAGUUAGUAGAACUCUGAGGAGGGAACUUGAAGAUGCUGAAGAGAGCUCAGAGAAAGUGAGGGACUCCCAAAUCCAUCCUACUAACCCAGCAGCAAGGGUUGGUGGUGGGAAGUGACACUGGGCACAGACAGAUCAUGGCACAAUAUUUUUAGGUGUAAGACUCAGAAGUUCCGAGUUCAAUUCUUGACUCAGCCAUGGACUUUGUGGGUGACACUGGAAACCUGCUUCGUUCAGUAAAUUGGAUGGACAAUGAAUGAGUCAGAGGAUUUCAAAAAGAGAUCUGAUGUCUUCUUGUGUUCAAAGCACUGGACUAGGACCCAGCAAAGCUGUCUCUCUUCCUGACUUUGCUACAGACUUCCUACGUGAUGUUGGAUAAGUGGUGAGCUGGAGCCGGUUCCCACAGGUUCUCAAGACCUGACAUGAAGUUCUGAGACUGUUGAGUUAAAACCCUGGCUUAUCCCGAAAAGGUUGAACUCCAAGUAACUAGUCUGGAGGGCCAUGUCACAAGGCAAUGGGGACCACUAGCAGACCCGGAUGGCCAGUCAGCAGGACUACUGAGAGAGACACUGCAAUGCCAUACCUAGCCACAAGAGAAGAAAUAAUUCUGCCCCUCAGAGGACAUCAUAGCUCUGAAAAUAGGAGCAUCACUCCAUUAAUUUCUGAACCAACUUGAACUCACCAGUUUCUGUAGUAAUAAACAUGA